ensembl:miRNA MIR590 microRNA 590
AGUCAGAAGUGAGCUUAUUCAUAAAAGUGCAGUGUCGUCCAGUAAGUCUGUAACUUUAUGUAUAAGCUGAUCUCCGACUGA